rnacentral:lncRNA from 1 species
UUUACCUUUAAGGCUUUAACUACUCCAGAUUCUGGGGAUAGAGAACCUUUCAUUAAGUAAAGUUUAAUUUCAAGAUAGAGGAUCUAUUCAUGCACAACAGAAGAUAUUAAUAGAAAUAUUUAUGCAUAUUUUUAAGGUUUCUACUUUGCUAUCGCUGCAAAAGCCACAAUCAGUCUAUCAACUUGCAAGAGACAACAAAAAAGGAAUUUAGUAGCACAAUGAAUAGUGGACUUUCCAACCCCUCUAUCCCCCAGAAGACUUUGCAAUUAACCAACUGAAUUCUCAAUGCACACUGACUCAAGUAACUGGACAUAAACCUGAAUAAUCAGAAGCACCAGGAAAAUAAACAACAAAGACAGCCGAAAAAGCCUCAGAACAAGCAGACAGAGGAAUAUAAUGUCUUAUCGACUUCAGGAUUCCACUAAAAUCAGCUGAAUUUCAAGUUAUGCUAUUCAAUUAGCAUUCUGUGUUGUUGUCUUCUUGAAAUCAAUCUUGUCAACUUUGACUUCUCCAUCGAUGAGUUCAUAAACAUAGACCACAACACGCAGGGCAUCAAUGUCCAUUAGAACAAAGCUAGGGUUGACAUCAUAUGUGAUGCUACUGUAGGCACCAGUAGCAGAUCCUGGAUUUAUAACAACCCCUGCUUCAUGUUUGUAAGCUGUGAACUGAUGGGUGUGGCCAGUCACAAGUAUGUCUACAUCCAAUUGCCUUUGAAGCAUGGCUAAUGAGUCCAAGUCACCCCAUGGAAUAACCUGGAAUCAAUGUCCAUUAGAACAAAGCUAGGGUUAACAUCAUAUGUGAUGCUACUGUAGGCACCAGUAGCAGAUCCUGGAUUUAUAACAACCCCUGCUUCAUGUUUGUAGGCUGUGAACUGAUGGGUAUGGCCAGUCACAAGUAUGUCUACAUCCAAUUGCCUUUGAAGCAUGGCUAAU